rnacentral:rRNA from 1 species
AUUGAACGCUGGCGGCAGGCCUAACACAUGCAAGUCGAGCGGAUGAAGGGAGCUUGCUCCUGGAUUCAGCGGCGGACGGGUGCGUAAUGCCUAGGAAUCUGCCUGGUAGUGGGGGAUAACGUCCGGAAACGGGCGCUAAUACCGCAUACGUCCUGAGGGAGAAAGUGGGGGAUCUUCGGACCUCACGCUAUCAGAUGAGCCUAGGUCGGAUUAGCUAGUUGGUGGGGUAAAGGCCUACCAAGGCGACGAUCCGUAACUGGUCUGAGAGGAUGAUCAGUCACACUGGAACUGAGACACGGUCCAGACUCCUACGGGAGGCAGCAGUGGGGAAUAUUGGACAAAGGGCGAAAGCCUGAUCCAGCCAUGCCGCGUGUGUGAAGAAGGUCUUCGGAUUGUAAAGCACUUUAAGUUGGGAGGAAGGGCAGUAAGUUAAUACCUUGCUGUUUUGACGUUACCAACAGAAUAAGCACCGGCUAACUUCGUG